CCUACGGGGGGCAGCAGUGGGGAAUAUUGGACAAUGGGGGGAACCCUGAUCCAGCCAUGCCGCGUGUGUGAAGAAGGCCCUCGGGUUGUAAAGCACUUUCAGUGAGGAAGAACGCCUGGUGGUUAAUACCCAUCAGGAAAGACAUCACUCACAGCAGAAGCACCGGCUAACUCCGUGCCAGCAGCCGCGGUAAUACGGAGGGUGCGAGCGUUAAUCGGAAUUACUGGGCGUAAAGCGCGCGUAGGUGGCUUGAUAAGCCGGUUGUGAAAGCCCCGGGCUCAACCUGGGAACGGCAUCCGGAACUGUCAAGCUAGAGUGCAGGAGAGGAAGGUAGAAUUCCCGGUGUAGCGGUGAAAUGCGUAGAGAUCGGGAGGAAUACCAGUGGCGAAGGCGGCCUUCUGGACUGACACUGACACUGAGGUGCGAAAGCGUGGGUAGCAAACAGGAUUAGAUACCCCAGUAGUC
rnacentral:rRNA from 1 species